rnacentral:rRNA from 1 species
AGCAGCCGCGGUAAUUCCAGCUCCAAUAGCGUAUAUUAAAGUUGUUGCAGUUAAAAAGCUCGUAGUUGAAUUUCAGGCCUGGCUGGACGGUCCGCCCUUCGGGUGAGUACUGUCUGUGGUCGGGUCCUACCUUCUGGCGAAGCGUCAUGGCCUUAACCGGCCGUGGCGGGGAACCAGGACUUUUACUGUGAAAAAUUAGAGUGUUCAAAGCAGGCAAUCGCUUGGAUACAUUAGCAUGGAAUAAUGGAAUAGGACAAUGGUUCUAUUUGUUGGUUUCUAGGACCGUUGUAAUGAUUAAUAGGGAUAGUUGGGGGCAUUAGUAUUCAAUUGUCAGAGGUGAAAUUCUUGGAUUUAUUGAAGACUAACUACUGCGAAAGCAUUUGCCAAGGAUGUUUUCAUUAAUCAAGAACGAAAGUUAGGGGAUCGAAGACGAUCAGAUACCGUCGUAGUCUUAACCAUAAACUAUGCCGACUAGGAUCGGGCGAUGUAGAAAAUGACGACGCUCGGCACCUCAUGGGAA